UAUAGAAAAAUAUUUAAGUAUAUGUAUAUAUAUAUUAAAACUAUUAUGUGUUGAUGUUUUAAAAUUUUUUAAAAUGAUAGCAUUUAAUACUUUGAAAAAAUAUAUUAGGCAUAAUUUAAUAUUAUUUUUGUUGCAAAAUAAUUACACAUUUAACCUUAAUGAAAAAAAAGCGAUUAAGUUUGUUUCCAUUUUGGAAAAUUUUUAUAAAAAUAGUUCUUAUAUAACAGAACAUAAUAGUAGUUACACAAAUUAUAUUUUGAACAGAAGUGUGUUCAGCUGUGAUCCGACAAACAGCAUUAUAAACAAAUUAAUAAAAAAAAAUAAAAUUAAAUAUUAUGGUUUUUGUUAUUUGUAUGAUAUUGUAUACAAAGAAAAAAAUAUAUUAAAUGUUUUUAACUAUUUGAUAGGAGAAAAAAAUGAAACUUUUCAAAACACUUUUGAUUUAUAUAACAAUUUUAAUCCUACGUUUAUGUUUAUAGUCACGUCUUUUCUAUUACCAAAUUUUUUUUGUUUUUAUCAAGUUUAUAAUAAAAAUGAUAGUCGAAAAAUGAAGAAAAAAAAAGGAAGGUUGUUAAGACAACAAAUAUACUUUAAAACGCUAAUUCGACAAAAAAAAAUGAAUUUUGAAAAAAAUAAAAAAAAAAUCACUAAGAUAGUAGAAGCAGGCAUAAAAGAAAGUUAUUAUUUUAAAAUAAGUAAGAAAGCAAAAAAAAUUAACAAAAAGUUCUCCAUGGUGUCUUUUUGUGACAAAUUGAGUGGUUACAAAUGUAAGAACAAAAUUGCUUUUACAAGGAUACAAAAAGAUGCACAAGGUGGUUAUAAACAAAAUAGCAAAUGCUUGUUAAGGGAAAACACGUUAGAUACAUGGUUCAAAGUGUACACGCAUGGAACUACAGAACUAUAUUACAACAAAUUCGAAAGCAUAUGUAACCGGUAUAUUGAUAAAACUAGUGUUGGUUUUAAAAACAUACAAACAAUACAUGCACAAUUGUUAAUGGUAAAUAGAUUGAAUAUAGGACAUAACAGUAGCACCAGUGAUUUUGAAAUUUUAAAAAAAGAAUGCGAAUUGGAACACUAUAAUUUAACACAUAACACAAAUGAGUGUAAUAGUGUAAUGAAGAGUAACAUAAGUUUACAUAGGGGUGAGUCCAACGCUGAUAAAUAUAACAAUAACAAAUUUACAAAUUGUUUUUAUGCAAAUAAAAGAACUAAUAACAAUGUUAUGACAUAUCAUAUGGCAAAAAAUUGGCUUAAACUUAAAGGAGAAGAGGUAGAUGAUGUUUUGUUUGUCAGUUAUAAAAAUUUUAAUAGUAACAUUAUUAAAGAAAAAAAGAAAAUAAACAUAAAGAACAGUGGUUUAGAUACAUGUGGAAAAAUAAAUGAGAUAGCGAGGGAAGUGAAAAAAGGAAGAUGCGAUUUAACCGGUUUAAUUGGAGUAACAGGACAAACCAAAGGAAGAAAAAAUGCGCACUACCAUUUUGACUUCUCUAAUUAUGAUAAAGAAUGCUAUUGUUUAUGCUGUUAUAAAAAAGAAAAUAACAAAAAAGUAAAAAAAAAAGUAAAAAAAGUAAAUAAAGUAAAAAAAAAUAAAAGUAGAUUACAUAUAGAGUAUAAUUAUAGUAAUGUGGACAGUGUUGACAAUUUUGUUUUACAUAAUAAUCAACUUAUUGAAAAAAUUUCGGAGGUGAUUUAUAAAGAUGAUAAAAAUUCAACUAGAGAUAAUAGAAACAUUCAAUGUCCUUAUGUUAAUAAUAUUUUUUUGUUAAAAUUGCAAACCGCAAAAAAAAGAAAAAUUCACAGAAGUAAUAAUAAUAUAUGCUUAUUGAACAUACGAUCGGUAUUAAAAAAUAGGUUAUUAUAUUGUCAAAAAUGGAAACAUAAAAAUAGGUAUACAAUUAAAAGCAAAAUCGAACAAAAAAUGGAAAAAACGUAUGAACGAUUGUACAUAUCUAAAAAAGUACAUCCAUACAUACAACAUAGCGGCAAAUAUAGUUGUUGUUUAAAUGUAUCUGAAACGUAUAGUAACGGAUCCUAUUUGUGUUGUUCUUUAAAAAUGUUACACACAGUGGAUGAAUCAACUAUAAUUAAAAUUGUUUUGGAAAAUAAGGGUAUAAAUUUUGUAUAUUUUGUUAUGAAUUAUUUUAUUCAGAAAAGUUUAAAAAGGGAAAAUAAUAUACACAGAAAGAUACCUACAAAAAGUAGUGUUAAGUUUAGCAACGUAAGUCAUAGUAACAAAAUAAAAAAUGAAUUGAAUAGUAACUAUAUGCUGAAUGUUAAGGUUGAGACUGACAAAAAUGGAAAUAAUUAUGAUGUUGUGGUUAUAAAUGAAAGGGAUAUAACAAAGAAGGGGGGGUUGUAUAAAAUGGGUAGCUGUAGUGGUAGUAGUAGUGGUAGUAGUGGUCGUAGUAGUGGUAGCUCUGACAUCAACUGUAGUUACGGCAGUAGUACCAGUAUAAACGACCACAAAAGAGAUAACUUAUGUACGCACUUAAAUACAGAACGAAUUCCAUUUUAUCGACAUAUUUAUUUAAAAAAUUGUAAUAGUAAAAAACAAAUAAUAAAAGUAAAAAAUUUGUUUUAUGAAUUAAUAAAAAUUAUUAAUAUAAAUUCAUACAAUUUUCAUUUUUUUUUAUAUCUAUUAGAAUAUUAUAUAGAUAAUAAUAAUUUUUCAGGAGUGUUUAUAAUUUUAUUAACACUCAAAUAUUUUAGUAUUGAUUUUUUUAGUAUAUUACAUAAAUCGAUAGAGUAUAAUUUUUAUGAUGUCGUUAAAAUUAAGACUCAAGAAACAAAACAGACAAACGAACGGAAAGACCAGCAGUUAAUUACAACUGAACAUAUUAAAGAAUUUGGAAAAAAUAAAAAAAAUGAUCAACCAAAUGUAACUAAAGCAAAUAAUAAUGCUUAUAGUAAAAUGAAAGGAAAUGUAAGGAAAUACUGUUUAGACCCAUAUGAACAAGAACGUGAAUCUAAUUUUUUACAAAUUAUAAGCUAUAUCGAAAAGGAGUUGAAAAGAAAAUGUACUUGGUACAUGUAUGAUUAUGUUAUAUUUAUGUUAGAAU
ensembl:lncRNA